rnacentral:rRNA from 1 species
UUAAAGUUUUGUCAUGGCUCAGGACGAACGCUGGCGGCGUGCCUAAUACAUGCAAGUCGAGCGGACAGAUGGGAGCUUGCUCCCUGAUGUUAGCGGCGGACGGGUGAGUAACACGUGGGUAACCUGCCUGUAAGACUGGGAUAACUCCGGGAAACCGGGGCUAAUACCGGAUGGUUGUUUGAACCGCAUGGUUCAAACAUAAAAGGUGGCUUCGGCUACCACUUACAGAUGGACCCGCGGCGCAUUAGCUAGUUGGUGAGGUAACGGCUCACCAAGGCAACGAUGCGUAGCCGACCUGAGAGGGUGAUCGGCCACACUGGGACUGAGACACGGCCCAGACUCCUACGGGAGGCAGCAGUAGGGAAUCUUCCGCAAUGGACGAAAGUCUGACGGAGCAACGCCGCGUGAGUGAUGAAGGUUUUCGGAUCGUAAAGCUCUGUUGUUAGGGAAGAACAAGUACCGUUCGAAUAGGGCGGUACCUUGACGGUACCUAACCAGAAAGCCACGGCUAACUACGUGCCAGCAGCCGCGGUAAUACGUAGGUGGCAAGCGUUGUCCGGAAUUAUUGGGCGUAAAGGGCUCGCAGGCGGUUUCUUAAGUCUGAUGUGAAAGCCCCCGGCUCAACCGGGGAGGGUCAUUGGAAACUGGGGAACUUGAGUGCAGAAGAGGAGAGUGGAAUUCCACGUGUAGCGGUGAAAUGCGUAGAGAUGUGGAGGAACACCAGUGGCGAAGGCGACUCUCUGGUCUGUAACUGACGCUGAGGAGCGAAAGCGUGGGGAGCGAACAGGAUUAGAUACCCUGGUAGUCCACGCCGUAAACGAUGAGUGCUAAGUGUUAGGGGGUUUCCGCCCCUUAGUGCUGCAGCUAACGCAUUAAGCAUCCGCCCU